rfam:Oryza sativa (indica cultivar-group) chromosome 6, whole genome shotgun sequence.
AAUAAGUGUAGUUUUACACUAUUCACGUUUAACAUUUGACCGUUUGUCUUAUUUAAAAUUUUUUUAUAAUUAAUAUUUUUAUUGCUAUUAGAUGAUAAAACAUAAAUAGUACUUUAUGUGUGACUAAAUAUUUUCAAAUUUUUCACAAAAUUUUCAAAUAAGACGGACGGUCAAACGUUAGGAACGAAUAUCCACGGCUGCACUUAUU